UACGAAGGGGGCUAGCGUUGCUCGGAAUCACUGGGCGUAAAGCGCACGUAGGCGGACUCUUAAGUCGGGGGUGAAAGCCCAGGGCUCAACCCUGGAACUGCCUUCGAUACUGGGAGUCUUGAGUGUGGUAGAGGUUGGUGGAACUGCGAGUGUAGAGGUGAAAUUCGUAGAUAUUCGCAAGAACACCAGUGGCGAAGGCGGCCAACUGGACCAUUACUGACGCUGAGGUGCGAAAGCGUGGGGAGCGAACCGG
rnacentral:rRNA from 1 species